GUUUUUUCUUUAAUAGAUUUACAAUAUUGUAUUAGACUAGAGUAGGACGAAUCCUGGUUCAGUGUUAAGGUUGGGGCCAGACUUUCGCCUAGCCCCUUGGUUUAGAUAAUGAUCCAACCGCAGGUUCACCUACGGUUA
rnacentral:misc_RNA from 1 species